rnacentral:rRNA from 1 species
AACGAACGCUGGCGGCGUGCUUAACACAUGCAAGUCGAACGAGAAAGAGUUCUUCGGAACUUGAGUAAAGUGGCGCACGGGUGAGUAACGCGUAGAUAACCUGCCCUGAUGUCUGGGAUAACCCUUCGAAAGGGGGACUAAUACCGGAUAAUACGAGUAACCAUAAGGUUACCCGGGAAAGAUGGCCUCUGAUUUAAGCUAUCGCAUUUGGAGGGGUCUGCGUACCAUUAGCUUGUUGGUGGGGUAACGGCCUACCAAGGCAACGAUGGUUAACGGGUCUGAGAGGAUGAUCCGUCACACUGGCACUGAAACACGGGCCAGACUCCUACGGGAGGCAGCAGUGAGGAAUAUUGCGCAAUGGGGGAAACCCUGACGCAGCGACGCCGCGUGAGUGAGGAAGGCCUUCGGGUCGUAAAGCUCUGUCAGAAGGGAAGAAGUGUGCAGCGGUUAAUACCCGUUACAUUUGACGGUACCUUCAAAGGAAGCACCGGCUAACUCCGUGCCAGCAGCCGCGGUAAUACGGAGGGUGCAAGCGUUGUUCGGAAUCACUGGGCGUAAAGGGCGCGCAGGCGGUUUGAUUAGUCAGAUGUGAAAGCCCACGGCUUAACCGUGGAAGUGCAUUUGAAACUGUCAGACUUGAGUAUCAGAGGGGAAAGUGGAAUUCCCGGUGUAGAGGUGAAAUUCGUAGAUAUCGGGAGGAAUACCGGUGGCGAAGGCGACUUUCUGGCUGAAUACUGACGCUGAGGCGCGAAAGCGUGGGGAGCAAACAGGAUUAGAUACCCUGGUAGUCCACGCCGUAAACGAUGUCAACUAGGUGUAGGGGGUGUUGAUCCCCUCUGUGCCGCAGCUAACGCAUUAAGUUGACCGCCUGGGGAGUACGGUCGCAAGAUUAAAACUCAAAGGAAUUGACGG